AAUGAGCCACAUAAUGGAAAAAUAAAAUAUACCCUAAACUAUAAAUGGGCAAGGUGCAACUUUUCGAACUAUAGAAUGAUAAAGUAAAAAUAACCUAAAUUAUAGAGAGGAACAAUGAAACUUUUUAAACCAUAUGGUCGCAAAUUGGGGGUGUGUAUAAAAAUUUAUAUUCUUAAAAUUUAAUUAAACAGAAAUAAUUUGAAACAUAUAGGAGGUCUUUAUACAGAUUUGUGUAUAUUCUCUAAAAUACUAUAAUUUUAAAAAUAUAAUUUUUAUGCAUCAAUCACACUUAAAAAUCAGCAGCGUUAAGUUCUAAAGUUCAUUAUGUUAGGUAUAUAUAAAAUUUAUAAUUUUUUAUGGAUGGAUUAUUUAAUUGUGUAGAUUAUAGGGUUUGAAUUUAAAUUUCAAAAUUUUAAAAUUCAAUUAGAAAGCCUAUAGUGUAUAUAUCAAGUUUAUUGGCCUUCAAGUGACAUAGAAGAUGAAAAGCCACCUAUUUUUCUACAAGUGAAUAAUUUAAGGAGUUUUUCAAUUAAUAGCGAAAUUAAUAAGUUUAUUAAUUUUCCUCUUUAUAAUGGAUCUUUUCAUCUUCCACUUGAAAUAUUAAAGAAAUAAAUAAAAUUGUGUCAUUAACUAUAAAUUUUUUGGUAAACCUGAAAUUGGCUUCUAUGGUUUAGCUCAUUUUCACCUAUGUGGUUAAAAAAGUUUCACUUUAAAAUUUUGAGACUUAAAUUUUAUUUUACCAAAAAAUUCUAUAUGAAUUAGGAUGGCAAAUCAAAAGUUUUUAAUAAACUAUAGGACGGCAAAGUGAAAAAUGUACUAAAUUACAAGAAGGCAAAGUGUAACUUUUUGAACCAUUGGAUAGCAAAGUGAAAAUAAGUUAAAACACAGGAAGGCAAAGUGACAUUAUUUAAAACACAAGAUCACAAACUAGGGGUGCAUUUAACAUUUGAUAUUCUUAAAAUUUAUUUAACAUAGAUGAUCUCAACAUAUAGGAGAUCUCUAUAUAUAGAUUUGUAUACAAUCUCUAAAAUAUUAUAAUUAAAAAAAAGUCUAAUUCUUACGAAAUAUUAUAAUUAAAAAAAUAUAAUUCUUACGCGUCUGCAAAAAUCAGCAAUGUUUGCUUCUAAAGUUUAUUAUAUUAGGUAUAAAACAUUGUAAUUUUCAUAGAUGGAUCUUUUAAUGGUGUAGAUAAUGUUGNAAUUAAAUUACACACAGGAACAUCGUCAACAGAGAGUCUAAUUGCACUGUCAAAAUCUCAGUCCUUAUAUUAUUGGCCUUCAAGUGACAUAGAAGAUGGAAAGCCACCUAUCUUUUUGCAAGUGAAUAAUUUAAGGAGUUUUUCAAUUAAUAGCGAAAUUAAUAAGUUUAUUAGUUUUCCUCUUUAUAAUGGAUCUUUUCAUCUUCCACUUGAAAUAUUAAAGAAAUAAAUAAAAUUAUGUCAUUAACUAUAAAUUUUUGGGUAAACCUCAAAUUGGC
rnacentral:lncRNA from 1 species